rnacentral:lncRNA from 1 species
UUCUCUCGGGAGCCUCCACCCAGGCGCAUGGCUCCAUGAAGCAAGAGGAGGAGGCAGAGCGCGAGAGAUCCCGUCCGCCCCAGCCGCGUCUGGGCCAGGAGAAAAGCAAAACCAUAUUCCUGCUGCUGUCAGUUUUGAUGCACUGAGAAAACUUCAGAGACCUAAGCUUUUUCCAGAGAAGAGAAGCUUUACUGGUGUUCCAGCCCUAAGAAACUUAAAUCCUCAGUGUGACACAACUCAGUCCUUCUACUGCAGCAGCUCUUUUAUAAAAGCCUCCCAAAGCUCCAAGAAGGAACAAAGAAUGUGACCCAGUAAGCUCACACCAUAAGUCUAUAUUGCAGAAACCUUUGUUCAACAAAACUGCAGAUGCUCUGUUGAAUCCACUGGAGAUUGUCCUGAUACUAAGGACAAGCUCAUAUGACAUUAACAGACAAGACACUUUUCAGAAAGACAGGCAACGUGUUGGACCUUCCGGAGCUUCUCAGAAGACAGAGGGUUUUCUUUUGAGGCUGUUGUACAGUGGCCUGAUUAUAGCUCACUGUAGCCUCGAAAUUCUGGGCCGAAAUGAUCCGCCUGCCUCAGCCUCCAAAGUAGCUGAGACUACAGGCUGGUCUUGAACUCUUGGGCUGAAGAGAUUCUCCCACCUCAGCCUCCCAAGGUGUUGAGAUUACAAGCAUGAGCCACCUCACCUGGCCAAGAGCUAGUUGUUAAAAGAGCCUAGCACUACCCCCCUCUUUCUUGUUUCCUCUCUCACCAUGUGAUCUCCACACACAUUGGCUUGCCUUCCCUUUCUGACAUGAGCGGAAGCAGCCUGAGGCCCUCACCAGAUGUGGAUGCCAGUGCCAUGCUUCUUGUACAAUCUGCAGAAUCAUAAGCUAAAUACACCUCUUUUCUUUAUAAAUUA